UUGGACCUGAUAUCAGGCAAGAUUACCCGCUGAAUUUAAGCAUAUAACUAAGCGGAGGAAAAGAAACUAACAAGGAUUCCCCUAGUAACGGCGAGUGAAGCGGGAUGAGCUCAAGCUUAAAAUCUCCAUAGGAGUUUCCUGUGGCGAAUUGUAGUCUAUAGAGGCGCUGUCAGUGCGGCUGUUCGGGAUAAGUCUCUUGGAAAAGAGCAGCAUGGAGGGUGAUACUCCCGUUCUUGCCUGAGCAGCUUGCGCGUACGACACGUUUUCUUUGAGUCGCGUUGUUUGGGAAUGCAGCGCAAAGUGGGUGGUAAAUUCCAUCUAAAGCUAAAUAUUGGUGCGAGACCGAUAGCGAACAAGUACCGUGAGGGAAAGAUGAAAAGAACUUUGAAAAGAGAGUUAAAGAGUACCUGAAACUGCUGAAAGGGAACCGAAUCGUUUCCAGUGUCUAUAAUCCGUAGCAUAUUUCAUUGGCGAGUGGAUGCGUGCAGUGUUAAUGGCAGUGGCUUGCUGCGCCUUGCAUUGUUCUGCGUUUACUUGCUGGUGCCCUGUGUUGCGGUGGGACGUCAGAGUCAGUUCGUAUGCUGCGGGAAAUGGUCAUCGAGGAGGUAGGUGCUUGCACUGUUAUAUCUCGGUUGACUAGUCGUCGUGGUUGGGACUGAGGUGCCUACAAUGUGCUUUAACGUCUUGCGGGCGCUCAUUUGAUCAGCUGCUCUGAUAGCUUGCUAUGUUUGCGGUAUGGUCAGGUGAUUGUGUUUGUAAGUAACGUUUGCCCGUUCGGGACUUUGACGAAAUGGAGCGAUCCGACCCGUCUUGAAACACGGACCAAGGAGUCUAACAUGUGUGCAAGUGUUAGGGUGUGGAAACCCCAGCGCGUAAUGAAAGUAAAGGGCAGCAUUAGUUGUCUGAGGUAGGAAACCUUUCCUUGUGAGGGGUGGCACUAUCGACCGAUCAUGAACCUUCGUGGUGAAAGAUUUGAGUAUGAGCACAUAUGUUGGUACCCGAAAGAUGGUGAACUAUGCCUGAGUAGGGUGAAGCCAGGGGAAACUCUGGUGGAAGCUCGUAGCGAUUCUGACGUGCAAAUCGAUCGUCAAACUUGGGUAUAGGGGCGAAAGACUAAUCGAACCAUCUAGUAGCUGGUUCCCUCCGAAAUUUCCCUCAGGAUAGCAGCAACUUAUUUACGAUAGUUUUAUGAGGUAAAGCGAAUGAUUAGAGGAAUUGGGGAAGAAACUUCCUUGACCUAUUCUCAAACUUUAAAUCUGUAAGACCUGCAGGUUUCUUAAUUGAACUUGCGGAUGCGAAUAUCAAGUUGCUAGUGGGCCAUACCGGGUAAGCUGGUCUGGCGAUGCGGGAUGAUCCGAACGCAAAGUUAAAGUGCCAAAGUGCCCGCUCACCUAGAUACCAUAAAAGGUGUUGGUUCAUU
rnacentral:rRNA from 2 species